CCAAAGUAAAAUAGUAAAAAAACCUCACCCACCGUGUGUAAGGUUUGGGCUGCCCGCCCCGUGGAAGCCGCGGGCCCAACCCAAAAAAAACCCUAAAAAAUCCCCUUUUCCGGGGGGGGGGGCUGCGGAAGGAUCAUUAAAGUAUUCUUCGGUGCAGCCAGCGCUUCCACAGCGCGGCAGCCCAAACCUUACACACUGUGAUUAGUUUUUUUACUAUUUACUUUGGCUGCGCAAGUGGCCAAAGGUCUUAAACACAAAGAUUUAUAUCUUUUUUUACAAAAUUUAGUCAAUGAAGUUUUAAUACUAUAAUCUUCAAAACUUUCAACAACGGAUCUCUUGGUUCUCGCAACGAUGAAGAACGCAGCGAAAUGCGAUACGUAAUGUGAAUUGCAGGUUUUCGUGAAUCAUCGAAUCUUUGAACGCACAUUGCACCCUCUGGUAUUCCGGAGGGUAUGCCUGUUUGAGCGUCAUUUCUCUCUCAAACCUUAGGGUUUGGUAUUGAGUGAUACUCUCUUCUGGGUUAACUUGAAAUAGUGUACUGGCAAGAGUGUGCUUUUGUGGCCUCUUGACUGAGAUAAUGUAUUAGGUUCUACCAACUCGUUAUAGCAGCUCAAUUGUCCCUUUGGCAUAUCAGCUCGGCCUGACAACUCCUUCUAAAGUUUGACCUCAAAUCAGGUAGGACUACCCGCUGAACUUAA
rnacentral:rRNA from 1 species